AAAGUAAGUGUAUGUUAAAUAUCCAAACUUUUUCCUGUAACUGUCUUUAUGUGGCUCAUCUGAGAUUUAAAAAAAAAAAUGUGGCUCUCCAAGCAAAAAAGGGUUCCCGACCCCUGACAU